UACGUAGGGUCCGAGCGUUGUCCGGAAUUAUUGGGCGUAAAGGGCUCGUAGGCGGUUUGUCGCGUCGGGAGUGAAAACUCAGGGCUCAACCCUGAGCGUGCUUCCGAUACGGGCAGACUAGAGGUAUGCAGGGGAGAACGGAAUUCCUGGUGUAGCGGUGAAAUGCGCAGAUAUCAGGAAGAACACCCGUGGCGAAGGCGGCUCUCUGGGACGGUACUGACGCUGAGACGCGAAAGCGUGGGGAGCGAACAGG
rnacentral:rRNA from 1 species